AAGUCGAAAAGCUGACAGUUAGCGUCGGCCUGCAAAGCUGAUUGAGGUAGAAUUCUACUUCGACUUG
rnacentral:tRNA from 1 species